AUGGGUAAAACCUAAAUUUACUUAAAAGGAAUCAAGUAUACUUUAUAAUCUAAGUACACUUUAAUAUUUAAAUCAAAAUAUAAAAUUAACUAAAUACACCUUAUUUAACUAUCAAAAAUACCUUCGGUACACCCUAAUACACCAAUUCUCCUCUCCAGCAUAAGUGUUUUCAAUGCCCCAUUCGCUUUUUCUUGGCCUCCCUCUAUAUUGAAAGCUGACCGAACCUAAUGCAAAACAUAUAUCAGCGUUCACAAUUUGAAGAUUCUUCUGCUUUUGAAUUGCUAGCAAUACCUGGAAAACAUCUAAGCAGUAACUAAGGAUGGACAUUAAUUCCCCAAUUAAAAAGCUUUAUCAAGUAUGAAACAAUCAAAGAUCAUUCAAGUGAAUCAAGUCCAUUACCCAGAAAUCCAACACUGAAAAUGAACAAGUUGAAUGGACAAAAUCCUGAGCAUGCAUUUAGUAACCUGCUACACAAAAAAUGAACAAAAAUUCAGAACUCCCUUGAAGCCAUGACAACCUAAGAACGCCCAGCAUAUACAAUUUACAUAAAAAAAAUGUAUAUAAAAAAAAAAAAAACCAAACUUUAGUCCAUCCCUCAUUCUGAUUUGAACUUGAAGUUCGAUUGGAAAUACAUAAGGGACCCUAUAAACUUGGAAACUAUCCUAAAUAAGAUUCCUG
rnacentral:lncRNA from 1 species